rnacentral:rRNA from 1 species
GUGGAUUAGAUACCCUAGUAGUCCACGCCCUAAACGAUGCGAACUGGAUGUUGGGUGCAACUAGGCACUCAGUAUCGAAGCUAACGCGUUAAGUUCGCCGCCUGGGGAGUACGGUCGCAAGACUGAAACUCAAAGGAAUUGACGGGGGCCCGCACAAGCGGUGGAGUAUGUGGUUUAAUUCGAUGCAACGCGAAGAACCUUACCUGGCCUUGACAUCCACGGAACUUUCCAGAGAUGGAUUGGUGCCUUCGGGAACCGUGAGACAGGUGCUGCACGGCCGUCGUCAACU